GGCUGUUCUGAUGGUAGUGGGUUAUCAGAACUUACUAACAUUAGUGUCACUAAAGUUGAUAUUCAACCCCCCACUGCUAAUUUGACUGGCUUUAA
rnacentral:Y_RNA from 1 species